CUUGACCCUUUUUCCCUCCCCAGACCGGGUUCUCCUGGUUCACCCGGUGACGGAGCCGAGCGCCCGCGGGGUCAACGUUUACCUGCCCGGCGAGGGAGAGGUUUGGUACGAAGACGAGAGCCACGAGCGGCACCGGGGACCCCAAACGCUCUACGUCCCCGUGGGCAUCGGCACGAUCCCGGUGUUCCAGCGGGGUGGGACGGUGAUCCCGCGCCAGGAUCG